UACGUAGGGUGCGAGCGUUGUCCGGAAUUAUUGGGCGUAAAGGGCGCGUAGGCGGCCUGGCAAGUGGAAGGUGAAAUCCCUCGGCUUAACCGAGGAACUGCCCUCCAAACUGCUUGGCUUGAGUCCGGGAGAGGUGAGUGGAAUUCCCAGUGUAGCGGUGAAAUUCGUAGAUAUUCGCAAGAACACCAGUGGCGAAGGCGGCUCACUGGCCCGAUACUGACGCUGAGGCACGAAAGCGUGGGGAGCAAACAGG
rnacentral:rRNA from 1 species